rnacentral:rRNA from 1 species
UACGUAGGCAGCAAGCGUUGUUCGGAAUUACUGGGCGUAAAGAGUGUGUAGGCGGUGCUCUAAGUUCGUUGUGAAAUCUCCCGGCUUAACUGGGAGGGUGCGGCGGAAACUGGAGUGCUUGAGCGCGGGAGAGGAAAGCGGAAUUCCUGGUGUAGCGGUGAAAUGCGUAGAUAUCAGGAGGAACACCUGUGGUGUAGACGGCUUUCUGGACCGUAGCUGACGCUGAGACACGAAAGCGUGGGUAGCAACCAGG